AAACCGUUCAGGGGUAAACCCGAGAAACCCAAAAGUUCGAACGGGGAGAUUCAUCGUCAGCGCCGCUGGCUUCGCGUCGGCCGGCGAUGCUGGCGCGGGUCCGCCGUGUCUCGCCACGGCUCCCGCGCUGGCACGCCGCCGUGCGCCGAUGUCCGGCGCGCGUCGUCGUGCACUUCUCCCCCAGUAGGACGUCGCGACCCGCUGGGUGCCGGUCUACGGCCCGGGACGGACGGCUGCAACGUCGCCGGUGAAACGGCACGCGGCAAGCCCCCGGUCGCCCGGCCGGCUGCCCGGCGGUACGGUGAACGGUACGAGGCCGCGCCCUCGGGCGCGUCGAGCCCGUCGCAAGCGAGUGCCACGGUAGCCCGGAGGUUACGGACCCAGUGCCGUCCCCGGCCCUGGCCCGCUGUUGGCAGUACGGUGCACCUUCGACAGGCCUGCGAGCCGCGCGCGGUGUCCCGCUCCUCCCUCGCGGAGGUGAGGGCCCGCGCGCGGCACAUACCGGUCGGCGACGCUACCGCUUUGGGUACUCUCGGGA
rnacentral:rRNA from 1 species